rnacentral:rRNA from 1 species
UGAAGUAAGUAAGGGCGUACGGUGAAUGCCUUGGUGCCAACAGGCGAAGAAGGACGCGGCAAGCUGCGAAAAACCUCGGGAAGCUGCAAGCAAGCGAUGAUCCGGGGGUGUCCGAAUGGGGUAACCUGACUGGGGUAAUACCUGGUCGUUCAUACCUGAAUACAUAGGGUAUGAAACGCAAUACCCGCUGAAGUGAAACAUCUCAGUAAGCGGAGGAAAAGAAAGAGAAAUCGAUUCCGUAAGUAGUGGCGAGCGAAAGCGGAUGGAGCCCAAACCGAAGGUACUCCUUCGGGGUUGUAGGACCACGACAUAUUCGACCAUAGUGGAUAGUAGAACAGUCUGGAAAGGCUGGCCAUAGAAGGUGAAAGCCCUGUAGACGAAAUCCAGAGUGGGAAUUAGUGGUAUCCUGAGUAAUACAUCACACGUGGAACGAUGUAUGAAUCAGCGCGGACCACCGCGCAAGGCUAAAUACUAGUUGGCGACCGAUAGUGAACAAGUACCGCGAGGGAAAGGUGAAAAGAACCGCUGUGAGCGGAGUGAAAUAGAACCUGAAACCGUAUGUCUACAAAGUGUCAGAGCAGAGCAAUCUGCGAUGGCGUGCCUUUUGUUUAAUGAGUCUGCGAGUCAGUGUUUGUGGCAAGACUAAGGGCUUCCGGCCCGGAGUCGCAGCGAAAGCAAGUCCGAAUAGGGCGCAUUAAGUCGCAGGUACUGGACCCGAAGCGGAGGUGACCUACCCUUGGCCAGGUUGAAGCAUGGGUAAAACCAUGUGGAGGACCGAACAGGUGAACGUUGAAAAGUUCUCUGAUGAGCUGAGGGUAGGAGUGAAAGGCUAAUCAAACCCCGUGAUAGCUGGUUCUCUUCGAAAUGCAUUUAGGUGCAGCGUCACGUGCUGAUGCGCGGGGGUAGAGCACUGACAAGGCUAGGGGGCACACCCGCUUACCAAACCUUAUCAAACUCCGAAUACCGUGCAAUGGAACGUGGCAGUGAGACAGUGGGGGAUAAGCUUCAUUGUCGAGAGGGAAACAACCCAGACCAGCAGCUAAGGUGCCUAAAUAACGCUGAGUGGAAAGGAUGUGGGAUUACACAGACAGUGAGGAUGUUGGCUUAGAAGCAGCCACCAUUUAAAAAAUGCGUAAUAGCUUACUCAUCGAGUGAUCCUGCGCCGAAAAUGAUUGGCGAUCAAGCGUUAUACCGAAGCUCUGGACUUUGCCGCAAGGCAGAGUGGUAGAAGAGCGUUGCAUGCGCAUUGAAGGGUGAUGGCGACUGACCCUGGAGCGCAUGCAAGUGAGUAUGCAGACAUGAGUAACGUAAAGCCGGGUGAAAUCCCCGGCCGCCGUAAACCCGAGGUUUCCAGGGCAACGUGUUUCGUCCCUGGGUUAGCCGGGACCUAAGCCGAGGCCGAGAGGCGUAGGCGAUGGAUAUCAGGUUAAUAAUCCUGAGCUCGCGACCCUUAAACUGGGGGGACGCAUGAGAAGAGAUGACCAGGUUAUUGAAUUCCGAGCUGGGUCCACGGACCCAGCGCAUCAUCAAAUCGAGUGCCAAGAAAAGCCCCAGCGUAUGCUAAGCGACCCGUACCGCAAACCGACACAGGUGGGUGGGUAGAAUAUACCAAGGCGUAAGAGUGAAACCUGGUUAAGGAACUCGGCAAAUUAGCCCCGUAACUUCGGAAGAAGGGGUGCCUGCAGCGAUGCAGGCCGCAGAGAAAUGGCCCAACCGACUGUUUAUCAAAAACACAGCACUCUGCAAAGACGCAAGUCGAAGUAUAGGGUGUGACACGUGACCAAUGCCGAAAGAUUAAGGCAAGGGGUUAGCCGCAAGGCGAAGCUCUGAACCCAAGUCCCGGUGAAUGUCGGCCGUAACUAUAACGGUCCUAAGGUAGCGAAAUUCCUUGUCAGGUAAGUUCCGACCUGCACGAAUCGUGAAACGAGUUGGGCACUGUCUCAACCAGGCGCUCAGUGAAAUUGUAGUGGCGGUGAAGAUGCCGCCUACCCGCAGAAGGACGGAAAGACCCUAUAGACCUUAACUGUAAGCUGUCAUUGUUUCUUCGGUUUUAAUGCUCAGAGUAAGUGGGAGACGCUGAAGAUGCCCUUUAGGGGGCAUCCGAGUCAUCAAUGAGACACCACCCUUUGAAACUGGAGGAUCUAACCCUGAGCCGUGAAUCCGGCCAGAGGACCGUGUCAGCCGGUCAGUUUUACUGGGGCGGUAUCCUCCCAAAGAGUAACGGAGGAGCGCGAAGGUGGGCUCAGCCCGGUUGGCAACCGGGUGUCGAGUGCAUGGGCAUAAGCCCGCCUAACUGUGAGACCAACAAGUCGAGCAGAUGCGAAAGCAGGCCCAAGUGAUCCGGCGGUAGAAAGUGGAAUUGCCGUCGCUCAACGGAUAAAAGGUACCUUAGGGAUAACAGGCUGAUCACGCCCAAGAGUUCAUAUCGACGGCGUGGUUUGGCACCUCGAUGUCGGCUCGUCGCAUCCUGGGGCU